UACGAAGGAUGCAAGCGUUAUCCGGAUUUAUUGGGUUUAAAGGGAGCGUAGGCGGUCUUAUAAGUCAGUGGUGAAAUCUCGUUGCUUAACAACGACCGUGCCAUUGAUACUGUAGGACUUGAGUACAGUUGCCGUUGGCGGAAUGUGUCAUGUAGCGGUGAAAUGCAUAGAUACAAUCAAGAACUCCGAUUGCGUAGGCAGCUAACUAGGCUGUAACUGACGCUGAGGCACGAAAGCGUGGGGAGCGAACAGG
rnacentral:rRNA from 1 species